rnacentral:rRNA from 1 species
ACGCUCGACACCUACGGGAGCAGCAGUAGGGAAUCUUCCACAAUGGACGCAAGUCUGAUGGAGCAACGCCGCGUGAGUGAAGAAGGUUUUCGGAUCGUAAAGCUCUGUUGUUGGUGAAGAAGGAUAGAGGUAGUAACUGGCCUUUAUUUGACGGUAAUCAACCAGAAAGUCACGGCUAACUACGUACCAGCAGCCGCGGUAAUCUGAGCGGGCUGGCAAGGC